rnacentral:rRNA from 1 species
GCGCACCAGUCGAGAAACCUCCGCAACGCGGGCAACCGCGGCGGGGGACCCCAGUGCCGUGGCAUCGCCACGGCUUCUCCGGAGUGUAAAAAGCUCCGGGAAUAAGGGCUGGGCAAGGCCGGUGGCAGCCGCCGCGGUAAUACCGGCGGCCCGAGUGGUGGCCGCUAUUAUUGGGCCUAAAGCGUCCGUAGCCGGGCCUGUAAGUCCCUGGCGAAAUCCCACGGCUCAACCGUGGGGCUUGCUGGGGAUACUGCAGGCCUUGGGACCGGGAGAGGCCGGGGGUACCCCUGGGGGUAGGGGGUGAAAGUCCUAUAAUCCCAGGGGGACCGCCAGUGGCGAAGGCGCCCGACUGGAACGGGUCCGACGGUGAGGGACGAAGGCCAGGGGAGCGAACCGGAUUAGAUACCCCGGU